UGAGGAAUAUUGGGCAAUGCCCGCAAGGGUGACCCAGCAACGCCGCGUGGAGGAUGAAUGUCGUAAGAUUGUAAACUCCUGUUAGAGGAGAAGAAUAGUACCGGUUGGACCGGUAUAUGACUGUACCCUCAGAGAAAGCCCCGGCUAACUACGUGCCAGCAGCCGCGGUAAUACGUAGGGGGCAAGCGUUGUCCGGAUUUACUGGGUGUAAAGGGCGCGCAGGCGGGAUAAAAAGUCAGUGGUGAAAUCCUACAGCUUAAUUGUAGAACUGCCUUUGAUACUUUUAUUCUUGAGUUCGGGAGAGAGAGACGGAAUUCCAGGUGUAGUGGUGAAAUACGUAGAUAUCUGGAAGAACACCAGUUGCGAAGGCGGUCUCUUGGUCCGACACUGACGCUGAGGCGCGAAAGCGUGGGGAGCAAACA
rnacentral:rRNA from 1 species